rnacentral:rRNA from 1 species
CCUACGGGAGGCAGCAGUGAGGAAUAUUGGUCAAUGGACGCAAGUCUGAACCAGCCAUGCCGCGUGCAGGAAGACGGCUCUAUGAGUUGUAAACUGCUUUUGUACGAGGGUAAACUCAGAUACGCGUAUCUGUCUGAAAGUAUCGUACGAAUAAGGAUCGGCUAACUCCGUGCCAGCAGCCGCGGUAAUACGGAGGAUUCAAGCGUUAUCCGGAUUUAUUGGGUUUAAAGGGUGCGUAGGCGGUCGGAUAAGUUAGAGGUGAAAUCCCGAGGCUCAACUUCGGAAUUGCCUCGGAUACUGUUAGGCUAGAGAGUAGUUGCGGUAGGCGGAAUGUAUGGUGUAGCGGUGAAAUGCUUAGAGAUCAUACAGAACACCGAUUGCGAAGGCAGCUUACCAAGCUACGUCUGACGUUGAGGCACGAAAGCGUGGGGAGCAAACAGGAUUAGAUACCCUGGUAGUC